AGGACGAACGCUUGCGGCGUGCCUAAGAAAUGCAAGUCGAGCGGAAGUAGCAAUACUUUAGCGGCGAACGGUCGCGUAACACGUAGCCAACCUGCCCAGAAGACCGGGACAACACUCCGAAAGGGGUGCUAAUACCGGAUGUGCCCAUUUUGCCACAUGGCUUAAUGAGUAAAUCAUUUAUGGCUUCUGGAGGGGGCUGCGGCCUAUCAGCUAGAUGGUGGGGUAAUGGCCUACCAUGGCGUCGACGGGUAGCUGGUCUGAGAGGAUGGUCAGCCGGACUGGGACUGAGAUACGGCCCAGACUCCUACGGGGGCAGCAAUUAGGAAUCUUGCGCAAUGGGGGCAACCCUGACGCAGCGACGCCGCGUGGAGGAUGACGGCCUUCGGGUUGUAAACUCCUUUUAUCGGGAAGAAACAAUGACGGUACCCGAUGAAUAAGCCCCGGCUAACUCCGCGCCAGCAGCCGC
rnacentral:rRNA from 1 species